rnacentral:tRNA from 1 species
GUUUUAAUAGUUUAAAUAAAAAACAUUGGUCUUGUAAAUCAAAACUGAAAUUUCUAAAUUUCUUAAAACU